GUGAAAAGCAACACAAAAAAUGUUUAUUACCAAAUGUACUGUAGCACUUAAUUUCAUAUAAAAUUCCACAUGAGUUCAAUAUUAAGUUUCCCUUUAUUUGCAAAAUGUUUAACCCAUGUACAGUUAAACAUAAUACUAUUUAAGACACUGUGGGCGUGCUGUUGACAUACUGUAUGCAGAAGUGCCUGAAGCCUUAUUCUCAUUCAUAUGAAUGAUGAUUAUCUGCUUUGAACAGAUUCAUUUCAAGUAGGUCUUUUUCAUCUCUUGACCACAAGAAGUCACACACAAAAUAAUCUCGGUCAAACACACUGAAUCCAAUCUAAAAAUCCUUUACCAUGACUUGUUAGGACAAUAUCUGCAAUAUCUGCAAAUAAUAAUGAUAAUAUAAUAAUUUAAUAUUUUAAAUGUCAAAUUAUCUGACCAAAAGAUACAAUUAUAUAACACAUGGGAAAGCAGCACAGUUUCACCUUUAAUGAGCUGGAACUGGAGAAUGUUUGGACUUUCUUCUUUAAAAUGUUUUUGCUCAUAAAAUUGAAAAUACAUUUUCAGUUUAUUAAUCUAGUUAAGACCAAAUCUGGCUCUUUGCAUUGCAACGUAAAGUGACAGUCCUGUUUUCUUAACAAAAUACACUGUAUUCUGUGACUCCGAGUUGAUCUCAAUUUGUGUAAAUGUUGGAAUUUGUGUCUUGAGUUUCUGGUAGCCCAGCCUGAGGAGAAGCUGUGAGGACGAAGUGAUGAAGCAACCAGCAGGCGGGCACAAUCAGUGAGAGCUGAUCAGUUUCAUUUCUCAAGAGAAGAUGCCUAACCCUUGUGCCUGUAUGAAACCAGCCCGACGCAAGGCUCAUCAGUACACUACCUCUACAGACAAGAGAUGUGGUGGCUCUUGAAUGCUGCGUUGAUUGUAGGAGAAGCAGUCGUUGCAGUCAGUGCCGUUGCAGCAGCUCCUUUAGUUCUGGGUGCUGUAUGUUUCACCUCAGCUGGAAUAGAUGCAGGCUCCUGGGCUCCCUACAUGAUGGCUGCUGCUGCUGUGAUGCCAAUAGGUGGAGCAGUGUUGGGAUGGCUGACUCUAAUCCUCAUCUGAGAAAUCAAUGAAGGAACAAUGUUUUUACUUUUGCCAAAUGAAGGAGGCGACUGCAAUCUGUUCCCUUAUUAAACGGCACUUUUUUUCAUCUCAGACAACUGAAAUGUUGUGUUCAAUAAACCUCCUAUAAAAAGGAUGCUUGGUCAGUGUGUUGU
rnacentral:lncRNA from 1 species